AUUGAACGCUGGCGGUAUGCCUUACACAUGCAAGUCGAACGGCAGCGGACCUUCGGGUGCCGGCGAGUGGCGAACGGGUGAGUAAUGUAUCGGAACGUACCUUUCAGUGGGGGAUAACGUAGCGAAAGUUACGCUAAUACCGCAUAUUCUGUGAGCAGGAAAGCAGGGGAUCGCAAGACCUUGCGCUGAUUGAGCGGCCGAUAUCAGAUUAGCUAGUUGGUGAGGUAAAGGCUCACCAAGGCGACGGUCUGUAGCGGGUCUGAGAGGAUGAUCCGCCACACUGGAACUGAGACACGGUCCAGACUCCUACGGGAGGCAGCAGUGGGGAAUUUUGGACAAUGGGGGCAACCCUGAUCCAGCCAUGCCGCGUGAGUGAAGAAGGCCUUCGGGUUGUAAAGCUCUUUCGUCCGGGAAGAAAUCGCAUCAGCUAAUACCUGGUGUGGAUGACGGUACCGGAAUAAGAAGCACCGGCUAACUACGUGCCAGCCGCCGCCGUAAGAC
rnacentral:rRNA from 1 species